CCCCUACUCUCCAAGAAAGACAGGAGGAAAAAAAGGCACACGCCCGAAAACCAAAGGGAAAAAAGCAAAACAACAAAAGAAGCCCGUGAAGUGUCCGGAGAAUAAAUCACAGGCCGGGCUGCACUGUGUCAGCUGCGAGCAGUUCUUCCCAUCGCGGAACAAGCUGUUUGAGCACCUGCGGGCUACUGGACACGCCCAGGCCGAGCCUGCAUCCACCCCCGCCCCACCGGCUGCCGGCAGCCGCACCACCCGCCGCACCAUCGCCAGGAGCCGCAACCGCUAGACCUUGCCUGACCCACCCCGGGAGAGAGAGAAAGAGAGAGAGACACAUGCCUUGGGGAGAGUGGGAAAAUUGUCUGGACCGGCCUCUCCCUGCUGCCCGCCCCCCUUUCCUCUCUCUCCCGAGGGAGUGGCAGGGUGCCGUGACUGGGAGUAUGGAUCUCCUCUUCUCCUCCACUCCCCUCCUCCUACCCUCUCCUCUCCCCUCCCCUCGAGGCGUGUGGGUUGUGGAACUCCAGAAUGUGGAUGAAUAAUAACUUAUUAAAGGAGUGAGACUGCCCCUUGUGUCAAUCGCUCAGUGUAGCUCUGCCCGGGUGCCAGGCUGUGUCGGAAGGAACCGCAGAUGCUGGUUAAAACAGCCAAGACAGACACAAAGUGAGCGGAACAGGCAGUGUCCCUGCAGGGAAGGAAUAGGUGACGAUGGGCAGUUGGGCCUUUCAGAGCCGGUGUGGUGAGCACAGCUGGGUGACAUGGUGGCGGAGCAGGUAAGCUGUUCCCUCACAGCGCCAGAGACCUGGGUUUAACCCCGACUACGGGUGCUGUCUAUACCGAGUUUGUACGUUCUCCCCGUGACCUGCGUGGGUUUUCUCCAGGUGCUCCGGUUUCCUCCCACACUCCAAAGACGUACAGGUUUAUAGGUAUAAAUGUACAU